rnacentral:rRNA from 1 species
CCGGCACGGGUGAGUAACACGUAUGCAAUCCACCUGUAACAGGGGGAUAACCCGGAGAAAUCCGGACUAAUACCCCAUAAUAUGGGCGCUCCGCAUGGAGAGCCCAUUAAAGAGAGCAAUUUUGGUUACAGACGAGCAUGCGCUCCAUUAGCCAGUUGGCGGGUAACGGCCCACCAAAGCGACGAUGGAUAGGGGUUCUGAGAGGAAGGUCCCCCACAUUGGAACUGAGACACGGUCCAA